GCCGGCAUAGCUCAGCUGGUAGAGCAACCGCCUUGUAAGCGGUAGGUCGUCCGUUCGAGUCGGACUGCCGGCACCA
rnacentral:tRNA from 3 species